GAUGACUGCAUAAUGAUUGUAAGUAAUGGUCUAUUUGUACAUCUGAACAAAGCAGAGGAAGCAAUUAGCCCUUCCCAUAAGCUCUCCAUCACUGACAGCCUGUCAUGCUUCUUCAGCUUCCCUGGAAGAGAGGAGUGGAGAGGAGAAAAGGAGGUGCUGGGAAAAUGACAGAAGGUAGAAAGGAAGGAGAGCAGAUUCAGGCAAUAUUAUUUUCUCUUUCAACUCCACACCUGUGCAGACCUCGGAAAUCUCUCCACAAUAUUGUCCUCAUGCACAUCCACUGGAGCUCCCAGUAUCAUCUCUGCAGCUAGCUGGCUUUUACUCUCCUACUAAUUGGCACCAGUAUCCGUGAAGGAUCUCCCUUCCAUCCUGAAAGCCAAAUCCAUGAGCUGUGCCACUCCCUACACACUGCAAAUGCAGAAGACACUGACCUGCAGGCAGCAGCUGACGCCAGAUUCACACCAGUUUUGCCCUUCUGCUCAGCUUGGGAGGGAAGCUGCAGACUGGCUGAUAUGAGUUUCUUUCUGAACUGAGCUUUGCUGCAGAUCAGGAAAUACCAGACCUGGAUUCAGGUAUUUCAAGUAUCUUGUCUGUCAUCCUGCUCUGUUGUCUCUAAGUAUAUCAGCAGAUUUCUCAGGGUCACUGGGAUGUCACCACAGCCCAUUAAUUCUGCAAAUGUGCUCAUCUCCCUCAGGAUACAAAAGGACAGGAACUCC
rnacentral:lncRNA from 12 species